rnacentral:tRNA from 1 species
GGAAAUGUACUUUAUAAAGAAGAAGUAGUUUGCAACUAAUAAGAGAUGUAUAUCUUUUUCCA